rnacentral:lncRNA from 1 species
CAAAGCAAGUAAUGUUUUUGAAUUUAGAUCUUUGAGAAAUAAACCGGUUUAUAAAUUUUUGGAUUUCGUGACUUUUGUAGCAUUUUUAUGGGUGAAAAUUUAGAGGCUUAUUGGUAUGCUUGUUGUGAAUGUGUACAAGAGAUUGAGGUCAAUCGAAUGGCUAGAUCGAUACAUAUGAAGGUUUUUAUGGGCUAAGGUGUAGGGAUUUAGAGUUUUGAGGACCAGUAAGGUUUUCUUAGUUAUCUAGCAAUUUGCCAAUUGGAUUGGAGAGAUUUUUAGUUUUAUCAGUAGAAGACUUGUUUUUUUAUGUGUAAAUAAAAUUUGGAAGCAAUCAAAUAGUAGAAAAAGGAGAUAUUGGCACUGGAAGUUUGGCAUCAGAUUGGAGAAGGAGAGGCCAGCUGACAUCUGAGCGGAAUUUUGAGGUUAUCAACUAAUUGGUAAGUGUAAAUUUCUUCAAAAUUUGUGUGCUAGUUUCUAACUUAAAUUCCAAGAAGUGUGCAAAUUUUGAAUUAGAAUCAAUAGUUCAAUCUUUAUUUAUUUAAAUUUCAAAUCUGUGAUUAGGAUUUGGUUUGGAUUAGGGUUUGAUUAGGGUUUGGAUUAGGAUUUGGUUAGGAUAUGGUUUAGGAUUUAGGAUUUGAUUAAAGUUAGAAUUUGGUUAGGAUUUAGAAUUAGGAUUUGACUAAGGUUUGACUAGGGUUUGUUUAGGAUUUGGAAUUGAUUAGAAUUUGUUAGAGUUAAGAUUUGUCUAAGAUUUAAUUAGGAUAUGUUUAGGAUUUAGGGUUUGUCUAGGAUUUGAUUAAGGUUGGAUUAGGAUUAGGGUUUGGUUAGAAUUUAUGGUUUAUUUAGAUUUUUGUUAGGGUUUGAUUAAGUUUUCUUUAAUAUUCUUUUAUAUUUCUUUAGGAUUUCUUUGUGUUUCUUUUAUAACUUCAAU